UGCUUCCUACGGGGGGCAGCAGUGAGGAAUAUUGGUCAAUGGGCGGGAGCCUGAACCAGCCAAGCCGCGUGAGGGAAGAAGGUACAGCGUAUCGUAAACCUCUUUUGUCAGGGAACAAAGGCGGGGAAUAGUCCCCGGAUGAGGGUACCUGAAGAAAAAGCAUCGGCUAACUCAGUGACAGCAGCCGAGGUAAUACGGAGGAUGCGAGCGUUAUCCGGAUUUAUUGGGUUUAAAGGGUGCGCAGGCGG
rnacentral:rRNA from 1 species